rnacentral:rRNA from 1 species
AGCAGCCGCGGUAAUUCCAGCUCCAAUAGCGUAUAUUAAAGUUGUUGCAGUUAAAAAGCUCGUAGUUGAAUUUCGGGGUUAGUAGGUUGGUCAUGCCUCUGGUAUGUACUGAUCUCACUGAUUCCUCCCUCUUGACGAACUGUAAUGUCAUUAAUUUGGUGUUGCAGGAAAUCAGGACUGUUACUUUGAAAAAAUUAGAGUGUUUAAAGCAGGCUUAGGCUUGAAUACAUUAGCAUGGAAUAAUGAAAUAGGACGUUUGAACCUAUUUUGUUGGUUUCUAGGAUCGACGUAAUGAUUAAUAGGGAUAGUUGGGGGCAUUAGUAUUCAAUUGUCAGAGGUGAAAUUCUUGGAUUUAUUGAAGACUAACUACUGCGAAAGCAUUUGCCAAGGAUGUUUUCAUUAAUCAAGAACGAAAGUUAGGGGAUCGAAGACGAUCAGAUACCGUCGUAGUCUUAACCAUAAACUAUGCCGACUAGGGAUCGGAUGAUGUUAAUUUUUUAAUGACUCA